UUGUAAACCUCUGUUAGCAGGGAAGAAGUGAAAUUGACGGUACCUGCAGAGAAAGCACCGGCUAACUACGUGCCAGCAGCCGCGGUAAUACGUAGGGCGCGAGCGUUGUCCGGAAUUAUUGGGCGUAAAGAGCUAGUAGGCGGUUUGUCGCGUUUGCUGUGAAAGGCCGGGGCUUAACCCCGUGUAUUGCAGUGGGUACGGGCAGACUAGAGUGCAGUAGGGGAGACUGGAACUCCUGGUGUAGCGGCGGAAUGCGCAGAUAUCAGGAGGAACACCGAUGGCGAAGGCAGGUCUCUGGGCUGUAACUGACGCUGAGAAGCGAAAGCAUGGGGAGCGAACAGGAUUAGAUACCCUGGUAGUCCAUGCCGUAAACGUUGGGCACUAGGUGUGGGGGACAUUCCACGUUUUCCGCGCCGUAGCUAACGCAUUAAGUGCCCCGCCUGGGGAGUACGGCCGCAAGGCUAAAACUCAAAGAAAUUGACGGGGGCCCGCACAAGCGGCGGAGCAUGCGGAUUAAUUCGAUGCAACGCGAAGAACCUUACCAAGGCUUGACAUAUACUGGACCGCAUCAGAGAUGGUGUUUCCCUUCGGGGCUGGUAUACAGGUGGUGCAUGGUUGUCGUCAGCUCGUGUCGUGAGAUGUUGGGUUAAGUCCCGCAACGAGCGCAACCCUCGUUCUAUGUUGCCAGCACGUUAUGGUGGGGACUCAUAGGAGACUGCCGGGGUCAACUCGGAGGAAGGUGGGGAUGACGUCAAAUCAUCAUGCCCCUUAUGUCUUGGGCUUCACGCAUGCUACAAUGGCCGGUACAGAGGGUUGCGAUACUGUGAGGUGGAGCUAAUCCCUAAAAGCCGGUCUCAGUUCGGAUUGGGGUCUGCAACUCGACCCCAUGAAGUCGGAGUCGCUAGUAAUCGCAGAUCAGCAACGCUGCGGUGAAUACGGUCCCGGGCCUUGCACACACCGCCCGUCAAG
rnacentral:rRNA from 1 species